rnacentral:tRNA from 1 species
GCCACCUUAGCUCAGCUGGCAGAGCAACACUUUCGUAAAGUGGAGGUCCUGAGUUCGAAUCUCAGAGGUGGCU